UCUUCCCUAUGCCUCCCAUUCC
rnacentral:miRNA from 1 species